rnacentral:tRNA from 1 species
GCCCACUUAGGCAAAACGGCAAAGCCGUCUGGCUAAGGCCCAGAUGCGUGGGGGUUCGAAUCCCUCAGUGGGUAC